rnacentral:rRNA from 1 species
ACACGUGAGUAACCUGCCCUUGACUUCGGGAUAACUCCGGGAAACCGGGGCUAAUACCGGAUAUGAGCCGUCCUCGCAUGGGGGUGGUUGGAAAGUUUUUCGGUCAGGGAUGGGCUCGCGGCCUAUCAGCUUGUUGGUGGGGUGAUGGCCUACCAAGGCGACGACGGGUAGCCGGCCUGAGAGGGCGACCGGCCACACUGGGACUGAGACACGGCCCAGACUCCUACGGGAGGCAGCAGUGGGGAAUAUUGCACAAUGGGCGAAAGCCUGAUGCAGCGACGCCGCGUGAGGGAUGAAGGCCUUCGGGUUGUAAACCUYUUUCAGCAGGGAAAGAAGCGCAAGUGACGGUACCUGCAGAAGAAGCGCCGGCUAAYUACGUGCCAGCAGCCGCGGUAAUACGUAGGGCGCAAGCGUUGUCCGGAAUUAUUGGGCGUAAAGAGCUCGUAGGCGGUUUGUCGCGUCUGGUGUGAAAACUCGAGGCUCAACCUCGAGCUUGCAUCGGGUACGGGCAGACUAGAGUGCGGUAGGGGAGACUGGAAUUCCUGGUGUAGCGGUGGAAUGCGCAGAUAUCAGGAGGAACACCGAUGGCGAAGGCAGGUCUCUGGGCCGCAACUGACGCUGAGGAGCGAAAGCAUGGGGAGCGAACAGGAUUAGAUACCCUGGUAGUCCAUGCCGUAAACGUUGGGCACUAGGUGUGGGGCUCAUUCCACGAGUUCCGUGCCGCAGCAAACGCAUUAAGUGCCCCGCCUGGGGAGUACGGCCGCAAGGCUAAAACUCAAAGGAAUUGACGGGGGCCCGCACAAGCGGCGGAGCAUGCGGAUUAAUUCGAUGCAACGCGAAGAACCUUACCAAGGCUUGACAUGCACGAGAAGCCACCAGAGAUGGUGGUCUCUUUGGACACUCGUGCACAGGUGGUGCAUGGUUGUCGUCAGCUCGUGUCGUGAGAUGUUGGGUUAAGUCCCGCAACGAGCGCAACCCUCGUCCCAUGUUGCCAGCGGGUUAUGCCGGGGACUCAUGGGAGACUGCCGGGGUCAACUCGGAGGAAGGUGGGGAUGACGUCAAAUCAUCAUGCCCCUUAUGUCUUGGGCUUCACGCAUGCUACAAUGGCCGGUACAAAGGGCUGCGAUACCGUAAGGUGGAGCGAAUCCCAAAAAGCCGGUCUCAGUUCGGAUUGGGGUCUGCAACUCGACCCCAUGAAGUCGGAGUCGCUAGUAAUCGCAGAUCAGCAACGCUGCGGUGAAUACGUUCCCGGGCCUUGUACACACCGCCCGUCAAGUCACGAAAGUCGGUAACACCCGAAGCCCAUGGCCCAACCGUUCGCGGGGGGAGUGUCG